GAUGAACGCUGGCGGCGUGCCUAAUACAUGCAAGUCGAGCGAAUGGAUUGAGAGCUUGCUCUCAAUGAAGUUAGCGGCGGACGGGUGAGUAACACGUGGGUAACCUGCCCAUAAGACUGGGAUAACUCCGGGAAACCGGGGCUAAUACCGGAUAACAUUUUGAACUGCAUGGUUCGAAAUUGAAAGGCGGCUUCGGCUGUCACUUAUGGAUGGACCCGCGUCGCAUUAGCUAGUUGGUGAGGUAACGGCUCACCAAGGCAACGAUGCGUAGCCGACCUGAGAGGGUGAUCGGCCACACUGGGACUGAGACACGGCCCAGACUCCUACGGGAGGCAGCAGUAGGGAAUCUUCCGCAAUGGACGAAAGUCUGACGGAGCAACGCCGCGUGAGUGAUGAAGGCUUUCGGGUCGUAAAACUCUGUUGUUAGGGAAGAACAAGUGCUAGUUGAAUAAGCUGGCACCUUGACGGUACCUAACCAGAAAGCCACGGCUAACUACGUGC
rnacentral:rRNA from 1 species